rnacentral:lncRNA from 1 species
ACGAAACAAACCAAAGAUCGCGACUUCUGGAUACUCUGAAAUGGUACUUAUAUUCUCUCUUUACUUUCUGUGAUUUCUUCAAAUUUCUUCUCUCCUACAAAUUCUUGGGUAUUAUUAUACCCAAUUGUUGUUGCUUUACAUUUUGGGUUUGCUUCAAAUGGAAUCAAUUUCAUCUUCAAUCGAAAUUUUAAUUUAAAGUUAGUAUUGCUUCUUCCAUCUAUUUUUCUUUGAAUGAAUAUCAAAAUUUUGUGAAAUCUAUGUGGGAGUGAGAAGGCACAAUAGUAUUUUUCUAUUAUUCCUUGAAUUUCAAAUAUGCCUUCUAAUCUCUAAAUUCAAAGGAAACCGAAAAUUGAAACAUUGGUUUAAUGCUUUAAUCUCUUUAUUCAUAUAGGGAUAUUGAACGAGCAGUGGACAAAACCAAAAAUUUCUAAAUUUUCCAAUUUGUCGACAAUAGGUACAUCUCCUCUGCUUUAGUGUCUUCAUUCUUAUUUAUUUGUCAAUUCUUCUACGAUUGGUAUAGAGCUAAUGUAAUUACAAUUUUUGUUGUGCUUUACAUACCAAUCAUUUUGUAACCUUAAUACCACUAAAACACCCUUUGCACAAAUUACCAUCAUGUUUGGAUUGGAUUUACAUUGUUGAAUGUCUCAAAAUUAUUCACUCAUAGAAAAAGAAAAACUAUAGAAUUCUUCGUCACCAUAGAUAUUUUUCAAACCACUGGAAACACUUCUUCUUUGAAACCGUAGAACAAUACAAUUAUUCGAAAUUUUGAUUUUUAAUUAAUAGAUUUCUCUGGUCUAUUUAAAGUAAUAUUUUUUUUUCUCUCCAAGAAUUGAGAAUUUUUUUUCAUCAAAGCUCAUCACGUAUGGAUGUGAAAGAAAAGGUACCACCAUAAUGUUUUUAUGUCACAUAUCUGUAGGGGUACUAUAUGCUCCAGCCAUUCAAAACACGACACGUGGCCUACCCAUCAUUCCAAUAGGUCGUCCACCACUCGACCUAACCGAAGGCCGACCAGAUCAGCUCGACUACAUGACCAUUGGCGACCUCUUCAUACGCACGUGCCCUAAAUCAAUGCACAAAGAAUAUCUCCAGCUGUAACAGAAUCAUUGCAGCUGUUACACAAUCAUUGAGGGAUAUUACGCAAUCAUAAAGAUGUCGGAGAAUCUGCAAGAUCCCAUGAUCUUGGCCCCUUCACCUUCUAUAAAAUAGAACUACGAUGGCUUGAUCUCUAGGUUCCAUUCCCUCGAACUAGAGUACGUAGGCAAUCACGAUCUCAUCGUGGUGCAGCCACCCCAAUCUCGAACUCCCCCCCUUUUGGUCAGUCCAACAACGAUCUGACCUUGUGAAUGCAUUAAUCUGGAAACAAGUUAAUACAUUUGGCGCCGACUGUAGGGAAUCUAUUAUAUCGAAAAAACCAGCCCUCACACCCAACUUAAAGUCAUUCCAACCACACCAUUCUUUCAAAUGGCUACGCAAGAAGCAACAAUCCAGGAAUUAAGAGACCAACUCAACCGUCUCCAGGAAGAAAACGCUCGGUUAAAAACUGCACGUUGCAGAAACAAACCCAGAACAAGGGGCUGUCGUCGCUGACGACAGCAAUCGAAAGUAUGAAGAGCUCAGUCAACAGCUCGCUGAGUUCAAAGCUUCUCAGGUCGCUAUACAGUUAAGUAAAGGACACACAGCCGAACAGCUCGUUGUUCAAUCUCUACAGCAUUUGCAAGAAUCUCCUUUCACCAAGGAGAUCCUCGAGCAGGAGUUGCCUAACAAACUCAACGCUCCAAAGUUCGAUCAGUACGCAGGAAUUGGAAAUCCAACAGACCAUAUCAAGGGUUUCCGUAAAUCACUUCCACUCAUCAAGGAAGAUCAUCUGCUCUACUUACUAUUCCAGUCCAGCCUCACCGGACCGGCUCUUGAUUGGUUCCACCGCUUGAAUCCAGGCUCAAUCAGCUCGUUUGUCGAUCUGGAAAAGCAGUUCGUUAUAUUCUACAUCCACAACAAAAAGCGUCCAAUCACCAUCGACGCUAUGUUCAAGAUAAAACAACGAGACGGUGAACUUCUGAGCAAUUUCUUUGCUCGCUUCAAAACAGAACUGCACUCCAUUCAGGAUUUUGCAAAGGAGCAUGAGCCCUUUGCAACAAUCGCGUUCUCUCACUGUCUGAUCCAGGGAUCAGAUCUCCACAAGUCUUAGGCCAUGAAGCGGCCAGCAUCUCUAGACGAGCUCUACCUCAAGGUAGAUCAUUACAUCAAGUUAGAAGAAGCCCUAGUAGGUAGGGAAAAAACUCAUGUCAUUUCAAACGUGGAAGGAGGCUCCACUAAAAGACCUCGAUCAGACAACAAAAGGUUCAAAGCUAAGGCAUUGACCACAGAGCAACGUGAGUACCACCGAUUCACAAGACCAACAGGGUAUAUCUAUGAGCGCAUCAAGCACAACCAUUGGUGCAAGAUUCCAGACUUCACACAAUUGAAUGACACAUCUAGUCGUCCAUAUUGCAAGGUCCACAAAGUCAGAUGUCAUCAAACAGAUGAUUGCCGUAUACUGAAGCGAGCUCUUCAGACAUGGGCCGAUGAGAAAAGGCUCAAUAACUGGAUCUACGGCAGGCAAGAAGGGUCCAGUGAGAAGAGAAUGAAGAAGAGAUCUAGAACACCCACACGUUCUGAAAAACGAUCUCAGAGCAAGGCCAAAACGACCUCCACAAGUCCAGAACCCAACAGAGGGCGUAGCCUCUCAAGAAGACUAGGUCCAACAGGCGACCUACGCGACCAAAUCAACAAACAGGUCACAAACAAGAUAGAUGAUGACAAUGAAACAGAAAGUCAUAUCGUAUACAUGAUCUAUGAGUCCAACUCCACUCCAGUAUCUCGAGAGAAGAAAAGGCGAGUAGAACACCUCCAUCAUGUCUACUCCAUCACAGGCCGAGCCGCUCGAACUAACAUUCCAGCCCGGCAGGAAACAGAUCUGAGCUUCACUGAGGACGACCUAAACAAGGUCGUUACACCACACAACGACGCUCUGGUCAUCGAGUUAAGAAUUGCUAACUACAUUGUCAAAAAAGUCCUCAUUGACGCAGGUGCAUCCUGUAACAUACUGAUGUACAUGACUUUCAAGGAUAUGAGGCUUCCCGAUUCAGUCCUCAUUCCUGAUUUCACUCCAAUCUUGGGCUUUAACAGCUCGAGAGAGGACCCAAAGGGAGAAAUAUUGUUGCUCGUCACUGUGGGCAUGAAAGAAGAUAAGGUUGUUGUAACAACAAAGUUCAGCGUCCUAAACAUCGCAAGUAAGUAUAAUGCGAUACUUGGUCGCAAGUGGAUCCAUGCCAUACGAGGUGUACCAUCAAGUGUUCCGUUAUCCUGGCCCCAAUGGGAUAAUGGAGCUUAGGGGCAAUCAGAACACUGCUCAAGAAUGCCAUGGAGUUAUUGAAGCUGUGGCGUCUGAUAGGCCAUCCACCUCAGGAACCAAGGACGCUGAGAAGCAGGUAAAGAGUCCACAGACCUCAGAAGCCAAAGAGGUCGAGAAGCAAGCAAAGAGCCCGUCAAAGGGAAAGGCUGAAGCAGCCAAAUAGCAACUAGAGCAGGAGCAAGUGAGUUCCCCCCAACUAUCACUUGGAAGCACAGAUCCAGGAGUGCGAGUGAACCUAGGGUUAGAGGACGACCCGAAAUAUGUUUAUUUGGGCUCGGAAUUAGGGGAAGAUAAGUAUAACGACUUUGUAAACUUUCCUUCUCUAAAUAAAGAUGUUUUUGCUUGGUCGUACAUCGAUAUGCCUGGAAUAGACCCAUCAAUAACAUGCUAUAAGCUACGAGUAAAUCCAAAUUAUCGACCCGUCAAGCAAAAACCAAGAAGACUUGCCCCAAAAUUUCAUCAAGCAGUCAAUGAUGAAAUUAGUAGACUCAAAUAGGUCGGGUUCAUCAAGGAAGUUGACACACCAGAUUGGUUGGCCAACAUAGUUCCAGUUUUAAAGAAGAACGGGAAAACAAGAGUCUGCAUCGACUUCACAAGCUUGAAUAAAGCUUGACCUAAAGAUUCAUUCCCACUCCCACGAAUCGAUAGGUUAGUCGAUCAGACCUGUGGUUUCGAGCUACUAUCAUUCAUGGACGCGUACUCAGGCUAUAACCAGAUCCCAAUGUAUGAACCAGAUCAAGAAAAAACUUCAUUCACAACGGAGCAAGAAAUCUUUUGUUACAAGGUUAUGUCUUUAGGCCUAAGAAACGCUGGAGCGACCUACCAACGACUCGCAAAAAUGUUCGACGAUCUACUAGGUCGGACAAUGGAGGUCUACAUUGACGACAUGUUGGUAAAAAAAAGCCUCGAGCAAGAUCAUUUGGCCAAUCUCGAUCAAGCAUUUCAAAGGUUAAGGCAAUUCAGGAUGAGACUUAACCCAAAAAAAUGUCUAUUCGGAGUAGCAUCAGGGAAAUUUCUUGGUUACCUAGUUACAAAGAGGGGUAUUGAAGCAAACCCCGACCAGAUCAGAGCCCUGGUCGAUAUGCCCAGCCCGAAGACAAAGAAGCAAAUCCAAAAACUUAACGGCAUGGUAUCAACUCUUAAUAGAUUCAUUUCUAAAGCAUCCGAUAAGUGUCGACCAAUGCUUCAUAUUCUUAGAAAGGGGGCUGUAUAUCAAUGGACAGAAGAAUGCGAAAAAGCCUUUGCCGAGCUGAAGGCAUACUUAUCCACUCCACCAGUUCUCACGAAGCCUAAUGAUGGAGAUGUGCCCGAAAUUUACCUUGCCACUUCAGAUUUUGCGAUCAACGCAGUACUGUUCAAGGAAGAAAAUCAGGUCGAGCGACCAAUCUACUUCACAAGCAAGGUGUUGCAACAAGUUUAGACCUUAUUUCAAAGCACACACCGUUAUAGUAAUCACCGAUCAACCACUACGACACAUACUAGAAAAGAAGAACAAAACAAGUCGUAUGGCUCGAUGGGCAGCUGAGCUCGGUGAUUACACAUUUGAGUUCGUACCUCGCCAGGUCGUCAAGGGCCAGGUCGUAGCUGAUUUCUUAGCAGACUACCCUGCCGAAGAUUUCAGCUGGGAACCAGAACCAGAAACCAGACAAAUCCAAGUCGAUCCACCAGACACUUGGCAACUCUACGUUGAUGGUUCACACAACUCGAAUUGAACUGGCAUCGGUGCCGUACUCAUUUCACCUGAGGGCUCACAACUCGAAAGGUCAACUCGGUUAGACUUCUCGACCUCUAACAAUGAAGCCGAAUAUGAAGCUCUAAUCCAAGGUCUACAAAUGGCAAUCGACCUACAAGCAGUUCGACUCAAAGCGUUCAGCGAUUCACAACUGGUAGUAAAUCAGAUUACAAACAACUACCAAAUACAUGGAGUCAAUUUGAUAAGAUAUGCAAGCAAGGCAAAGGAGCUAAUCAGCAAAUUCAGUUUCUUUACCAUCGACCACAUUCCAAGGGAUGAUAACAGACAUGCUGACUCACUAGCAUUCUUAGCAUCCAAGGUCGAGUCAGAUCGACCUCGAGCUCUAACCAUAGCAGUAAGUACGCUGCCUGCGUAUCUACUAAAGGAGGAAGUGGUCAACCAAAUAAGCGACCUACUCGCCACGACCUCAGAAGAUAUCAAGGGAACCUGGAUGGAACCCUUCAUCAAUUACUUGCAAACUGGCGAGCUCCCACCAAACAAGAAGGAGGCUAGCCAGUUAUUACAUAAGGUCACUAUGUACAGGCUAUAUGAGGGAAAGUUAUUUAGAAAAUCUGCAACUGGUCUGCUCCUAAGAUGUCUAAUUCCCAAGCAUGGGCAAAUCAUCUUCCAGGAGAUUCAUGAGGGAGAAUGUGGAAAUCACUCAGGAGGUCGCACACUUGCUCAUAAAGCGAUCUCGCAAGGAUAUUUCUGGCCAAGAAUGAAGGAAGAUGCAAAAAAGUUUGUGUUAAAGUGUAAGGAGUGUCAAUGUUUUGCCGACCACGCACAUCAGCAUCCCAACGACCUCAUCAACAUCACUGCUCCCUGGCCAUUUCACAUGUGGGGGCUCGAUAUCAUGGGCCCAUUAAUCAAAGAAAAAAAAUCUGAGAAAAAAUAUGUUCUAAUCGCGGUUGAUUACUUCACCAAAUGGUAGAGGCCGUCGCACUCACCAACAUUACUCAAGCAGAUGUGCAACGAUUUAUGUGGGAAAACAUAAUCACAAGAUUUGGUUUACCCAAGAGAAUAGUUACUGACAACGGAACCCAGUUCGUGGGAAAAAAACAUUAAGGCUUUCUAUGCACUAUGGAAAAUCGAGCACUCUAGAUCGACGCCUCGAUAUCCACAAAGCAAUGGUCAGGUCGAAGCUGCGAACAAGCAAAUUCUAUCUAACUUGAAGAAAAAACUUGAAGAUCAGGAAGACCAAUGGCCACAACAGCUAGAAAACAUCCUCUGGGCCUACAGAACAACUCCUCGAACAUCAACAAGAAUGUCUCCAUUUAGCCCUUGCUAUGGAGUAGAAGCUAUUAUUCCAACCGAGCUGACAUUUGGCACGACCAAGUCACUACUGGUCGAUACCGAGCUCAAUAACCAAGCCUGGUCGUUCGGAAUAGAUCUGGCUGAAGAAAGGAGGAACCACACCACUAUUAAGCUCGAGCAAUACCAAUAAAGGCUCAAACGAGCUUAUAACAAAGGCGUCUGACCUCGAUCUUUUCAACCAGGCGAGCUCGUAUUAAGAAAAAUGUUCCACAACAAAAGAAAGGCAAAUGUUGGAAAGCUCAACGCCAACUGGGAAGGUCUUUACAUCAUCACAAAGGUCCAAAGCAAUGGAUCUUAUCGCCUUCAAACUCCAGAAGGGGAAGAUGUGAAGAAUCCAUGGAAUGCUUAUCAUUUGAAGAAGUGUUACCAGUAAAAUGUAAGCAUGCAUUCUCAUAUUUCAAUAAACGAGCUCAAUUUUGCCUUCAUUUCAAUUCAAACAUGAAUGGCUUGAAUAGGUCUAACUCAAUCCCCAAACCUUCAAAUUAUCAAUCCUCAAGUCCCUUUGAUAAUUUUUAAGUGUUAAGUUGACAUCUGUAAUCCAACUAACACUCCUUACUUAGGUCAUAACUAUCCCACGACCUAAGUAAAGUCGAGCUCAUACUGAACCGACCAAAUACUAGAACAGGUCGAGUUUUUGACUUACUAUUUGGUGUUUGCGAAUCAAUACAAGCAGACAAUGCAAAUAAAAUAGAGGCGAUCAAGGUAAACAAGUGAAAUUUCAUUUUAUUUAUUUACUUCAAAAGCCUAACUAUUACAGGAAAAGUGAUCUAUUACAUCGACCUAAACUACUUGGGGGCUAUUCCAACAUUCCACAUAUCCAGCUCGCAAGAGUGAAGCUACCUGCAAAACCAAGGCAAACUAUAACGACGAGAAGGAAAAAACAAAUUCAUUUAAGUAAGGCAUACAAGAGGAAGCAUUUCAGUCCGCCCUGCUUGCAGCCAUUCAUCUCGUCUACCUGCCUUCUGAACGAGCUACCAGGACUCCCUAGAAACUAGUCGCCCAACUGAGACAGUUUAUAUUAUCCACAACAAGGAAUAUAAAUGCAGAAAAUAAAGGCGCAAUCGACCUGCCGAAGCAGAUCGAUCACUAGUGUUUAUGAUUACAACCCAUCAAAAUAGCAUUCAAGACCAUCUAGCUAAACCUCACAACGACUCGAGCUGAAAACUGAACGUGAAAAGAAGAUGAAGACUGAACGUGAAAAGAAGUAGGAGAUGUAUUGUCCAGCAGUGAGGAAUGCAUACAAGAACAAGAAAACACCAGGAAUCACUGAAGACAAGAGAAGGUCACUGCUGCGAAGUUCGCUCGUCUGGCUCGACCAGCUCGUUCUGGAGUCCUUCUACCCCAUCUCCAGGGCCCAUCGAGGCGUCCUGCGUUGGGACUAGAGCGACCUCGUCACCAACUAGCGUCUCCUCUCCUUCGGGCGACCCUAGCAGUUGCUUCUUGAGAUUCUCACAGUACGCCUGCCAUUCAACACCAUUCUUUCGGCACGCGCCCUCCCAGUACGCCGCAGAGUCCUUAGCAGCAGUAACCUCACCUCUAAGACCCUCUAUCAUCUCCUUCAGCGCUACAAUCUCCCCAUCCCUGUCCCUCACCUUCGUCUCAGCAACAACAACAAUGUUCUUAGCCUGCUCGAGUUUCUCGUCCAGAUGCUUCAGCUCGAUCUCAGCCCUCGCGCCAACCUCAGCGACCAGACGUACCUCCUGGAAGCUAACGUUGAGCUACACAAAACAAUGGUUAACGGAUACAAUUUCCAAAGUUAGUCUCAAACGUGAAUCUAAACUCAGCUUACCAGAGAAAGAGCAGAAUUUAUCUUGGAGCAAGUCACAAGAAGACUCUGCGACUUCACCAUGCAAGCGUCAGCAUCAAGAACAAUACCCUCGUUAACAGCUCGGGCAACACAGGGGUCAUCUAUAGCACUAUCAUUGUCAUAAACAACGUGCUUACCUCCCUGGUCGUCCAGAUAGUCAAAAGGGCCAGAUCGGAAUUCAGAUGAACCCCCUUGCCCUUGCUCGAGUGACGAACAUCAGUCUUCAUAGACAAAGGAGUAGGGUCAGGAGCUCGCAAGGCUUUCAGAGGAGCAGGGGAAGGUAUGCUUGGUGGCGGCUCCAUCAACUUCAGGUUCCCAGAGAACGACCUCUUCCUGCUCGAGCCGGAAGGUAGCUUGGGUAGAGAGGUCGGAGGGGAAACGAUCUGGGGGCUCGCAAUUGGAUCAUUCUGCCUCGAGCUGGUACCAGAUCGAGAUUUCUCACUCAAGCUAGCUUUCUGGAUCGAACCCAUGAAGUUUUUCUUCAACACUCUCCUCCUCUCCAGCUCAUCCGCAACAGUCUUGGGACCACCCUUGGGAAUAAAAUAAUCCUUCAGAUGAGGAAGAAACUUUCUCUUUCGCUCGUCAGUCCAAGACCCAAAAACGUUCAAGGAAGAUUUCAGGUCGUUUUUCUUGACAAGAUGGUCGUCCCUGAUCGCUGCAAAAUAAACAAAACAAGUCAACGACCAUAAAUAAACACAGGCAAAUAGAUCAUCCAACAACGAUCUAAAGACCAACGACCAGGAGCUUACGAUUAUCAUUCACAUUCCUGGUAACAUAAGAUAAAUGAAGAUUCCCUUCAGUUAUCUGACCAGUAAGCAACAUGGGCUCCUUCCACCAUGGUUCACUACUCACGGGGUAAAUCCAGGGCAGGCGAUCUGGCCUGACCUGCAUAUUAUAACCCCCCACCUCCAGCUUCGCAGAUCACUUGAAACAAAAGUGACCCAACACAUCCUUUACGGUAACAUUCCACCUAUGCAAUCUAUUAUGGUCAUCUAUAACCCCCAUGUUCCUCCAGAAAUUACCGUUCAUCUGGCAAGGAGCUCGUCUGAUAGCAUUCAAGAGGUCGACUACCAAACAAGAAUGGGGUAACCUAAGCCCAGCUCGAAACUGGGCCAAAGUGAAAACAGUGGAAAACGGGUUAUUAGGUCGAUACUCCUCUGAGAGUAAACGGUCUCCCAAAAACCUAAUUUCAAGAUGCCUAAUGGAAUCCAACCCAUAUCUCUUCCUAAAAGCGAUGUGCCUCUUCACAUAAGAUAGGUUAACUACACAGCAAAACGAGUUAUCCUCGCCCUCCACCAUCUCGUCAUCAGAAGAAUCCUCCCCAUGAGGACCACUACUUCCAAGGCUACCUUCAUCUAAACACUCCUCCUCUCUCCCAGGGGAGCAAGCAUCGUCACCAGAAUGAGUCCGUUCAUCUUCAGACUCGUACUCACCAACACCAUCUCCACUCCAAUGGUCAUUUUGGGAGUCGCUACCGUCCGACAUCUCUCAAUAUGGAAGCAAAUGAAGGAAAAUAAAACAAAGCAAUGAAGUAAAAAAUCAAGCAGAAGGAACUCACCUCAAGAACUCUCAAGAUCUUCAGGUCGCAACGAGAAAACAGCAGCAGUUUGAGAGAGCAAAUGAAAAAGUAAGAAACUUUGAUAGGAAGCUACAGUUUAAAUACCAAUAGAGAAGAGAUCCCAGUCAUCAAUUCAAUUCAAAUCAACGGGCAAGAUCACACAUAGACAACCACGACCUUUGCAGUUAUUACCCACUAGCCCGACGAUUCACAUCCACCGUUGGAUCAAUCCACGUGUCCAGCAAAGGGCCAUCAAUCAAGGAGUGCUUCAGUUUAAAACUUUACGGGGUAACUGCUCGAGGAGACUUCUCCACUUCCUCGUAAACCGUAAUGAUGGUACGAAAUAGGAAUACAUGGCAGUCACGUGUUCAAGUCUGAAAUUCAAAAAAGCAAACUUCAAAUCAACAAUAUUGAUCAGAGUUCAAAACGUCUUUUCAGCCCGAUUUCCUCAUCGACCUAAAAAGAGGGGGAUUAUGUAGGGGUACUCUAUGCUCCAGCCAAUCAAAACACGACACGUGGCCUACCCAUCAUUCCAACAGGUCGUCCACCACUCGACCUAACCGAAGGCCGACCAGAUCAGCUCGACUACAUGACCAUUGGCGACCUCUUCAUACGCACGUGCCCUAAAUCAAUGCACAAAGAAUAUCUCCAGCUGUUACACAAUCAUUGCAGCUGUUACACAAUCAUUGGAGGAUAUUACGCAAUCAUAAAGAUGUCGGAGAAUCUGCAAGAUCCCAUGAUCUUCGCCCCUUCACCUUCUAUAAAAAUAGAACUACGAUGGCUUGAUCUAUAGGUUCCAUUCCCUCGAACUAGAGUACGUAGGCAAUCUCGAUCUCAUCGAGGUGCAGCCACCCCGAUCUCGAACUCCCCCUCUUUUGGUCAGUCCAAUAACGAUCUGACCUUGUGAAUGCAUUAAUCUGGAAACAGGUUAAUACAGUAUCUAUGAAGACCUAAUUCACUUAAACCUUUUUGUUAUGACUUUCUUCUUAAUAUAAAAUGCUUUCCAAUGUCAAUCUCAACAUCUCCAUAAGCGUGAAAGCAAACCCAAUGUCAAAAAAGUUAAUGCCUAUUAAAAACUUGCUUUUGUUAAACACCUUCUACUAAUUUUAAUUUAUCUCUGUACAAUUUUCCUUUUGUAAAAUCUACCGACCCGGUGAAAAAAUAUUGGUCUGAAGAUGUCAUUUUUUCAUUUAGAAUUAUAUUAAAAAAAAAUGUAACUUACCUAGCCACCAAUCAUAUAAUUUCAUUUUUAAUUUGGAAUUAUUUUAAACAAUUACUCAUACAGUGUUUAGGCAUCACAACACUGUGCCCUGCAAACAUACUUAUAACCUUACUCAAUGGUCACUGUUUCUUUGUAGUAAACCUCAAUCUUGAAAAGUUUGUACAUACCACUAAGAAACACCAAAGAAGUUUACAGAGAGGUCAAAGCGACUUGCAACUAAACUCUUUGGGCAACAUUGAAAUGAGAAAAUAAACAACUUAAUUCUGUUAAGUUGGCACUCUUAAAAAUUUGAAGGCAUAUUUUUGUGAAUGGGUGUUGUAUUUAUUAAUUGAAAGGAUACUAUAUUAGUUACAUAUCAAAUUCUUAAAUUGUUCAGGUACUACAUUGACCUACAUAGUGAAUUUAUUUUAAUUCUGUAUAGAGAAGAAAAGGAGAGGUACUGAAUAAGUAGUUCGAUGUGAAGGCGUGUUUUAAUUGUUUAAGG